rnacentral:rRNA from 1 species
UACAGAGAUGGCAACCGUUGUUCGGAAUUACUGGGCUUAAAGAGCACGUAGGCGGGGAGGUAAGUUGGCUGUGAAAGACCACGACUCACUCGUGGGAAGUCAGCCAAAACUAUUUCUCUUGAGGCCGAUAGGGGAGAGUGGAAUUCCUGGUGGAGCGGUGAAAUGCGUUGAUAUCAGGAGGAACGCCGGAGGCGAAGGCGACUCUCUGGGUCGGUUCUGACGCUGAGGUGCGAAAGCUAGGGGAGCGAACGGG